AAUUUAUAUAUAUUUAUAUAGCUGUAAAAUGAAUUAAAAAUCAUAAAAAAUGGCUGAAUGUCACGUGUCUGUCCACUAACCGCCACACAGCACAAGGUUAAACCCACAUCCAACGGGGCCCACCAUGGCUCGCGCAUGUGGGCGGGGGCUCUUGUUGCCAUGACGAUGACGUCAGCGUUGGUGUCGAGUAACCAAAGGUCAAAAUAAAAGACGAGUGAAUGUAGAGAAGAAGAAAAAAACGCGAAGGAAACUUAACGCCGGCGGCACGGAACCGGACAGAACUACCGGCGGGGAAGCCGACUCGAACUUCACGAACCACCCGGCGCGGUUCCGGGAGGAAUUACCGUGUGUUUCGAGUGUUGUUUUUUCUUCUUCCGGCGACGACAUGACAAGGUGGUCCGGGGCUGUAAACAUCCCCGACUGGAAGCUGUCUUCAUCUGCAGAGCUUUCAGUCCGAUGUUUGCUCCCGCCGAUCGCCUCCGGCUGCUCCGACACGGCCGAGUCACACAGACGUCAUCAUCCGCGUCACCUUGGGCUUUAAGAACUCCUUCAGGUUGACAUUAAUCGCUGCCCUUUGACUGACGGCCGCCUCGUAGACACACGCUGUCUCUGUGGGACAACCGGCUGGACAUGAUGUCACCGACAAUCUGACGCGCGGAAGGUAUGGAAACACCGUUUUAUACAUAAUUAAUGUCUUCCAGGACCGGAAGAUAAAAGAUCCUCUCCUCGGUUUGGUUUCAGUGGAUCAGCUGCAGUUCAGCUCCAUCAGAUUUCCUCUUCCAGCUUUUUCAAGUUGACCUCUAAAACCUGGUUCUAAAAAUAGCGGCGCAGCUCGGGCCCAACGGUCUAAUUUCUGGAUUCAUCCGCCAGAGCAGGUGCGUUAGUGAAGAGGUUAUUUUUACAGUCAUCUGUGGCGUCUCAUGUGCUGCUAUCUUACCUGUGAACGGUGUUGUUCAUGUACUUAUUAUAUACUAUGUUUAAGUUUUGUCCAGCUGAAAGACAAUUUAACAUUUCAUGUUUUGCCCAGAUGUUGUUUUUAAAUUAAUAAAACUGAGCAUUUCACAACCUGAAGCCUGAAUAUAUUUCUAUCUGUGGGACUUUUUAAGUACUAUAUACCAAUUAUAUGUUAAUUCAUGAAAUGUUUCCUUAAAAUAUUAUUAUAACAUAAUCCUACAUGUGUUGGGAAGGGGAACAUUACUUUUAUUUUGUACAUUUACAAACUACAGAUCUGGGGGUGCCUAUAUAUUAAUUAUAUAUAUAUUAUUUAAUUGUAUAUAAAUAUAUAUUUAUAAAUGAAUUAUAUUUAUAUAUAUUUAUUUGAAGUGUUUUGGACACAAAAGUAAAUUGUCACAUCAUUUUUUUUUAAGGAAUAUUAAUUGUUUUUUCAUUUCUGCAUCAUUUGCUGAAUUUAUCCAUGUAAGUUAUGUUCAACAAGCUGAAGUUUUGAUUUUCAACAUGCAGUCUAAGUGCAAUGCUAUAAAUUCACCACUAGAUGUCAGACUUGUGCUUCUAUUAGCUCAGCAGUGAAAUGUUUUAAACUCUGCCAUUAAAAACAACUUCCAUCUCCUCA